UGCCAGCCGCCGCGGUAAUACGGAGGGUGCGAGCGUUAAUCGGAAUUACUGGGCGUAAAGCGCGCGUAGGCGGUUUGUUAAGUCGGAUGUGAAAUCCCCGGGCUCAACCUGGGAACUGCACCCGAUACUGACCGACUAGAGUACGAGAGAGGGAGGUAGAAUUCCACGUGUAGCGGUGAAAUGCGUAGAUAUGUGGAGGAAUACCAGUGGCGAAGGCGGCCUCCUGGCUCGAUACUGACGCUGAGGUGCGAAAGCGUGGGGAGCAAACAGGAUUAGAUA
rnacentral:rRNA from 1 species